UGGGGAAUAUUGGACAACGGGCGAAAGCCUGAUCCAGCUACGCCACGUGAGUGAUUGAAGGCCUUAGGGUUGUAAAACUCUGUCCUAUGGGAAGAUAAUGACAGUACCAUAGAAGAAAGCACCGGCUAACUCCGUGCCAGCAGCCGCGGUAAUACGGAGGGUGCAAGCGUUGCUCGGAAUUACUGGGCGUAAAGGGAACGCAGGCGGUUUAUUAAGUCAGAUGUGAAAGCCCGGGGCUCAACUCCGGAACUGCAUCUGAAACUGGUAAACUAGAGGAUGAGAGAGGAAAGUAGAAUUCCUGGUGUAGAGGUGAAAUUCGUUGAUAUCAGGAGGAAUACCCGUGGCGAAGGCGGCUUUCUGGCUCAUUUCUGACGCUGAGGUUCGAAAGUGUGGGGAGCAAACAGG
rnacentral:rRNA from 1 species